rnacentral:rRNA from 1 species
AACGAACGCUGGCGGCAUGCCUAACACAUGCAAGUCGAACGAGCCCUUCGGGUCUAGUGGCGCACGGGUGCGUAACGCGUGGGAACCUGCCCUUAGGUUCGGAAUACCUCCCCGAAAGGGGUGCUAAUACCGGAUAAUGUCUUCGGACCAAAGAUUUAUCGCCUUUGGAUGGGCCCGCGUUGGAUUAGCUCGUUGGUAGGGUAAAAGCCUACCAAGGCGACGAUCCAUAGCUGGUCUGAGAGGAUGAUCAGCCACACUGGGACUGAGACACGGCCCAGACUCCUACGGGAGGCAGCAGUGGGGAAUAUUGGACAAUGGGCGAAAGCCUGAUCCAGCAAUGCCGCGUGAGUGAUGAAGGCCUUAGGGUUGUAAAGCUCUUUUACCCGGGAUGAUAAUGACAGUACCGGGAGAAUAAGCUCCGGCUAACUCCGU